GAAGAACGCUAGCGGCAGGCCUUAUACAUGCAAGUCGAGGGGCAGCAUUUACUUCGGUAAAUGGCGACCGGCGCACGGGUGAGUAACGCGUAUGCAACCUACCUUUAACUGGGGCAUAGCUCGAGGAAACUCGAAUUAAUUCCCCAUAGUACAUUAUAAUAUCUCAUGAUAUAAAUGUUAAAGAUUUAUCGGUUAAAGAUGGGCAUGCGUCUGAUUAGUUUGUUGGUAAGGUAACGGCUUACCAAGACUACGAUCAGUAGGGGGUCUGAGAGGAUGAUCCCCCACACUGGUACUGAGACACGGACCAGACAUCUACGGAUGGCAGCAGUAAGGAAUAUUGGGCAAUGGGCGCAAGCCUGACCCAGCCAUGCCGCGUGCAGGAUGACGACCCUAUGGGUUGUAAACUGCUUUUAUAUAGGAAGAAAAUUCUCUCGUGUGAGGACCUGACGGUACUAUAAGAAUAAGGAUCGGCUAACUCCGUGCCAGCCGCCG
rnacentral:rRNA from 1 species